rnacentral:rRNA from 1 species
AGCGAACGCUGGCGGCAGGCCUAACACAUGCAAGUCGAACGAACUCUUCGGAGUUAGUGGCGGACGGGUGAGUAACACGUGGGAACGUGCCUUUUGGUUCGGAAUAACUCAGGGAAACUUGUGCUAAUACCGAAUGCGCCCUUCGGGGGAAAGAUUUAUCGCCAUUAGAGCGGCCCGCGUCUGAUUAGCUAGUUGGUGAGGUAACGGCUCACCAAGGCGACGAUCAGUAGCUGGUCUGAGAGGAUGACCAGCCACACUGGGACUGAGACACGGCCCAGACUCCUACGGGAAGCAGCAGUGGGGAAUCUUGCGCAAUGGGCGAAAGCCUGACGCAGCCAUGCCGCGUGAAUGAUGAAGGUCUUAGGAUUGUAAAAUUCUUUCACCGGGGACGAUAAUGACGGUGCCCGGAGAAGAAGCCCCGGCUAACUUCGUG